AUUGCUAAUUAUGGUCUUCGCCGUUGGAGAUCGGAGAGGCGCGUUUUCAUGACCGUCAUAAUUAUCAAUUGAAACAAGCAUAUCUAGUGAAAUAUUCCGUGGGAAGGCACUGAGCUCUGACUGAGCAAUGUUUUCAUGGCAUGCUUUAUAAAUCAAGAAUCAGUUCCCUCAUAAGAGGAAAGCUCUAUACAACAAAUGCCUCUUCCUCCAGGCAGCCUUCCCAGGAAACGCAGACUGAGGUUUGUUUCAGCUUUUACGAGAAACUUCCUGAUUCCUGACGUGGCCUAACUAUCUAGAAGAGCUUGUCGGAUUCCUUGGGGGCAUUCACCAGGGAAGUUAAAUAUCAGAGAAACUAAGUCCAGAAACCAUCAAGAAACUGAAGCUUCCCAGAGUCUGCCAUCCACCAUGGAGAUAAACAGCCAAGGACAUCCAUCUACGGAAUCCUUUGUCUCCCCACCCCUUGGAGGCAGUCCCAAAUGCAGGCAGAUGGGAAAAUGCUGAACAAGAAGGCCAUGGGCCCCCUCCCCUACCUAAAACCCCAAAUAAAAACUCCUACUCGUUUCUUAACGGGGAGCUAACAAUUCUUAAGGUAGUAGCCGUUGCUUUGCUCUCUCUGCCUGGCAAAGAAAGUAAAGCCUUUCCUUUCCACUCAAGGUUCUGUUCUCCUUAUUUGGAUUGGCAUCGGGUUCAGAGACUGAACUUUCGGUAACAACGCAAUUGUUCCAAAGUGCAGUCAGGAAUGAAUUGUGGAAGCCAAACGGAGACGUGUGAGAGAGAGGUUGAUCCCGCUGGUUUCAGCUGAAGUUGGUUAAAGGAAAAUGUAAAAUUGAAGCAUAAAUUGAUUUACAAUGCCACAAUCUCUAACGACCAAGCUUAUUACCUUAAGUUUUACUUAGUAAAUUAUCAUCUUGGGUGGUCUUUAAUCUGGAUCAUGGCUGCAAAACAGUGUAAAUUGCACUUUAUACCAUUUGUCAUUUGUCGUUAAAACUUUUCUUCUUGAUCCAGUUCUUGUGUGUUCUUUUAAUACACGUUUCAUGAUUUCCCAGAACAAGUCUCUGUUCUCAGUCACUUAUUGGAUAUUUGACAGAAGCUGAAUUUUUACUAGGUAACUUUUAACAACUGUAACAGGUCUCAUCUAGACUGCACGUCACUUAGGGAAGGGACGGUGUGCAUUUAUGCAACUUCCAACACUUAGCACAGUGACUGGCAUAUAGUAAACAUGUUAAUAACCUUCAGUUUGAAUGAAACAAUGUGCCUUUUCCAGGCACCAAAGCCUGUGGUUUGCAAUAAGUCACAAACUUUGGCUUCACGAAGAGCAAUUGUUUAGAU
rnacentral:lncRNA from 1 species